UACGUAGGGUGCGAGCGUUUAAUCGGAAUUACUGGGCGUAAAGCGUGCGCAGGCGGCUUCGCAAGUCAGGCGUGAAAUCCCCGGGCUUAACCUGGGAAUGGCGUCUGAAACUACGGAGCUGGAGUGUGGCAGAGGGAGGUAGAAUUCCCGGUGUAGCGGUGAAAUGCGCAGAUAUCGGGAGGAACACCAAUGGCGAAGGCAGCUUGCUGGGACGGUACUGACGCUGAGGCGCGAAAGCGUGGGGAGCAAACAG
rnacentral:rRNA from 1 species